GACGAACGCUGGCGGCGUGCUUAACACAUGCAAGUCGAACGGAAAGGCCCUGCUUUUGUGGGGUGCUCGAGUGGCGAACGGGUGAGUAACACGUGAGUAACCUGCCCUUGACUUUGGGAUAACUUCAGGAAACUGGGGCUAAUACCGGAUAGGAGCUACUGCUGCAUGGUGGGGGUUGGAAAGUUUCGGCGGUUGGGGAUGGACUCGCGGCUUAUCAGCUUGUUGGUGGGGUAGUGGCUUACCAAGGCUUUGACGGGUAGCCGGCCUGAGAGGGUGACCGGCCACAUUGCGACUGAGAUACGGCCCAGACUCCUACGGGAGGCAGCAGUGGGGAAUAUUGCACAAUGGGCGGAAGCCUGAUGCAGCAACGCCGCGUGCGGGAUGACGGCCUUCGGGUUGUAAACCGCUUUCGCCUGUGACGAAGCGUGAGUGACGGUAAUGGGUAAAGAAGCACCGGCUAACUACGUG
rnacentral:rRNA from 1 species